UUUUAUUAAAAAAAAGAAAAAAAAACAUUCCCUUAUGUUUCCAAAAACAUUUCCCUUCCUUAAUCUUCCUUAACCAGAGCGGGUUGUAUAAGCACAAACCCUAAUUCCUUUUCUCUCUUCCGCCUCCACGAUCUCUCUUCUCCCUCGUCAUCCCCGUCUCUCCCGUUCGCAAAGGUAACGCCGCCGUCGGUGUUUGCGGUACCGAUAACGUCGUUCUCGGCGUCGAGAAGAAAUCCACCGCCAAACUCCAAGACUCUAGAUCCUUACAAUUCAUACUCUACAAAUCCAAAUCCUAAAGACUCAAGCGUUUUGCAGUACAGAUCCAUCCAAAUUCUACUUUACAUGGAAUCCAGAAAUGUGACAUCCUUUUGAGUUCAUAAUCGGUUCAGCUCAGUUUGUGUUUGGUUCAUGUGUAGCUUGGAAUUGCUUGCAUUUUGGUUCAAGCUUUGAAUCUAACCUAAUUUACGGUUGUGGUUUAUGAAUCGUUGUCGAUUUGUUGAUGUUACCACCGUAAAGCAACUUGCGUGCCAAGUGUUCGGUAAAUUGCCGCAACCAAAUUACUUUCCUCCUUUAGCUUCUGUUUUGAUGUGAAUUAUAUGUUGGUUGCUUAUCUUGCAUGUGAUGUCGGUUCAAUGGUGGCGCUUGAGUUCUUUUAUUGGGCAAUUGGGUAUCCGAAGUUUCGAUAUUUUAUUAGAUUGAGGUGUGCUUUGAAGAUUUCCUGUGGUAAGUACUUCUAGUGAACUUGUCCCUGGUAUUGACUUUUGCAAUCAUGGAAAGAUGUUGCUUGAAGCUCUAACAUUUCACUUCACUAUGUGCUUUUAAAAUAAUUUCCUUGUUAAUCUUUUUCAUUGAUUGGGAUCUGAUUUUUACAUGACCAAUCAGAUUUGAAGUCAAUAGCAACAUGGGAAGUUGAUGGAAUUGGCUUAGCAACAGGAGUUCUUGUCUCCAUGUAUCUUCUUUUUGCCUUUCCGGUAACAUCUGUUUUGUGUAUUCUCAACUGGUUUGAUAUUCCCCUCUUGUCUCUUGUCUCUUGUCUCAAAGUUGUAUGAGAUCUGUGCUGCAAAUCAUUGGAAGCCUCCUGUGUUUGAAUGUUGUAAAGAGGAAGGACCAUGUCAUUGCAGAAUGACUUUGAAGCUCGCCACACCUACAUGAUACUUGCUAACUAAAAGCCUUGUGUGAAGUGCAAGUGACAUUUCGCAGCAAUUAUACGUAUUUCUCAAUAAUUGUUGUCGCUGCAAAAAUUUAAUUUUCUUGUAGUGUGUUGUAAAAACAUAAUUAUUUGUAAUGAUUUUGAUUGAUCACUCAUUUGAGCAGCAACCCUUUGACAUAGUUCUUAUUUUAAUAUGCAUUUUUCUUUUAA